AGAAGAAACUUCUCCUCUGGACGGAUAAGUACUAAUGUCCAGGUAUCUAUCAACUUCUUUUGAAGCAUCUGGUACUGACCAUGGCUGGAAAAGGGCAUUGGACUAGAUAGAACAUGGUCGAUUACUUUGUGCCUAUAAACCUCUAGAGUUUUUGCAGAGGGACUUAUCACUGUGGGAACAAAGUGUUGCAUCCUCUCCACUGACAUUUGAGGAUGGAUCAGACCGCUUCAAAUGCCAGAUCUCCCAGACUCUGAACCUUCUAUCUACCAACUGAAGUCCAAAGAUGGAAAUUUCUCAGCUUGCCUUAUCACGGACUUCGCCCCUGAUGGCAUCUCAGUUGGGAAAUCAUAUGAUGAUACAACAGAACGCAAUGGCUCCAUUGUGCAGGUGAAAAACCCAUACAACGAAAAAACAGAAGCAAGCUAUGGGACGGUGCUUUGGGAAGAGCAUGAGAACUUUGACUGUUUCGCUACACAUGGAAAUAGAGAUUUCAAGAUGAGUGACAGUGACGAGGAAGGUGACACCUGCAGGAUAACAGAGCUGGAUGACAAUUUUGAGACAGACGAGAAGCUGAACCUCCUGUCAUUCACGCUGCUGGGCCUGAGAAUCGUUUUUGUGAAAGGAGUGGCGGUUAACCUGCUACUGAGCAUCUGGCUGUGGAAGAGCUAAAGAGUGGAAGGAAAGAGGACAGAUGGAAUCUGGAGUGAUGGGAAUUCCUCAGAGACCUGGUGUCAUGUCUUCACCUUCCCAUGCAGCAGGAAAUAUGAUGCAAUGAAUGAUCCCCAUAUCACCUCUGUAUAUAGGCCUGUUGUAUAAUGAUCUGAUGUGCUUUCCCUUAGCAAGUUUUAGAAGGAUCUCACCUACCUAGCCUGGUUUUUCCAUGACCCUCAUCCCUUUCGCCCUCCACAGACUGACACAUUUAUCCUCAUAAGCUCCCAGUGUGAGGCAAGGAAUUUUUUGUUAAGUAGAGUUGGUCAACAAAUGUGUGGAAACAUUUUUUGAUGGAAAAUUAGGGUUUCAAUUUUUUUUGGCAGAAAGUUCCCAUCUUCCUAGGGAAAAAAAACUUCAAAUCUUCAUCAGAAACUCAAAAUGUUUGGCUAAAAACUGAAUAUUUUCAGGGUUUUUUAAGUUUUUGGCCACAAGAUUUUUUCAGUUUUUGUCUGAAAAUUUUCAGUUUUCAGUUGUCAAACACCAAAAACAACUUUUUAAAACAUUUUUUUCCAGGGAAAAUUUCAACAAAAAGUGAUUUAAAAAAAAAUUAGUGUUCAUUGAAAUUUUCUGCAGAACAAACCAGCUUUACCAUUAACCCUAUUUUGAAAGGGGGAAAUUGAAGCACAGAGAAUGAGGCUGAGAUUUUCAAAGCCACCUAAGGGCUUUGGGCUCCUGCUUCCCUUGGAAAUCAAUGGGAAUUGUGCAUUAAAAUCCCCUAGAUUGAAUUUUACACUCGCUGCCACACACUGGGAUUUUCAAAGCAGCCUAGAGGAAUGAGGCAUCCAUCUCCACUUGAAAUUCAAUAGCAUUUAGGCAGCUAGUUCCUUUGAAAAUCCAGCCAACACAUUCUGAUAGCGGUGGGUUCUUUAAGGCAGAUGCGUGGAAGUUGAUGCUACACAAAUUCAGCCUAGCACUAAAGUGCAAAUUAACAGUCAGAGUAAUUAACCAUUGGAUGGUGUUAACUAGGCGUGUGUGGAUUUCCCCUCACUUGUGCUCUUUACAUCAAGACUGGGAUCCGUGGCCAACACUCUCUGGCUUGUGUUAUAUGCAGGAGUUGGGCUAGAGCAGAAUGGUCCCGUCUGGCCUCUUGAAGAGACUCAUACAAAUGACUCCAUGCCACAGUCUCUUCCCAUCCCCGCUCUGCAGAAUUGGCGGCCAGGUCCCGGGCGGUAGAAGCCAGCACCACCUCACCGAUUUUCAUGCAGUGACAGCAGUUCUGGAGGACGUGCAUUACCCAAACACAAGACGGGCGUUAGUCACAGACAGGUUCUGGGCUCAUUGCAGGGCAGAUGUAAUAGCCAGGAAGUCAGACUAGACUUUCAUGCUGUAAACGCUAUAAAUUUAUACCAGCUCUGGACUGAUCCUACAUUUUAUUGUUCCAAUCUGCAUUUAUAUUGUCCCUUAGCUCUGUUAACCUGACUUUCAAAGUGUAUCUCCCUAUUUUAAACAUUUUUAAAUGUGAGAUUUGCUCAUUUAUGCUUUGGAAAAGAUUUUAUCAUUUGUUUUCAUUUCCUGCCGAGCUUCUUUGUAUGGCGUUGCUGAGAUGAUCAUGUACUCAAACUUCCUCUCCAGUCCGCCCUGGGCUGCUAGUAAAGAGCUUGGCUGAU